UACGUAGGGGGCAAGCGUUGUUCGGAUUUACUGGGCGUAAAGGGCGCGUAGGCGGCAAAUUAAGUCAGCUGUGAAAUCUCCGAGCUUAACUCGGAACUGUCAGCUGAUACUGAUCUGCUAGAGUGCGGAAGGGGCAAUCGGAAUUCUUGGUGUAGCGGUGAAAUGCGUAGAUAUCAAGAGGAACACCUGAGGUGAAGACGGGUUGCUGGGCCGACACUGACGCUGAGUGCGCGAAAGCCAGGGGAGCAAACGGG
rnacentral:rRNA from 1 species